rnacentral:lncRNA from 1 species
UCUUAUUUUCAACGUGUCUGCCUUCUUGUAUCAAUUGGACUAGCCCAAUUAAUAAGAUAUUUCAAUUCAAGGUAUUAAUUUUUCCUUUUAAUGAAAUCUAGUCCUUGAUAUGAAUUUUAUUUGUGCAACCAAUCUCCUCCUCAAUUUCAAACUUGUGGAAUUUAAUCCCAAAUCAUAAAUUUUAAUCGACUAUGUCCUUCUUCCUUUCCACUUGCUUCAAACAGGUUCGUCACUAAAAUCAAAAUAAAAUUAAUCCAAGUUAAAUAGAAAUUAAUAAAUUGACGGCAUAUAAACUUAAUAAUGUGGCCUAAAUAAAUGCACAAAUUGUACUUAUCAAUUUGCAUAUUUUCUUUUUCAUAUAAUUCCAUUAUUUUUUUUUUCUUUUGUUCCACACAGAAAGCUAGAUUUGAACAACAAAAUCAUCAAUUCGCAAAAUCAAAUCACAAUCACUUUUUUGAAACGUUGCUUUGAAUCCACGCAGAUUAGUUAAUGUUUUAGUUUUGAACCGAACCAAAUCGCUCGAAAUUGUUUGGUUUAGAUUUCAAUCUUUAUGAAUCAUUUCAAAUUGUCAAAUUGUCUAAUAAUAAUAAUAAUAAUAAUAAUAAUAAUAAUAAUAAUAAUAAUAAUAAUAAUAAUAAUAAUAAAUAUAAAGUAAAUUAUUUUAAUUUUUAUUUAAUUGAAUUAAAACUAAACACGUCCCAGUUAAAAAGAUACGUGCACAAAUUAAACUCAAUACCAAAAUACACAAUUAUCCAUGUCAAUUAAUUAAUUAAAUCAUACUCAAAUAUCCAUUAGUGAUCAUAACUAUGAAUGCAAAACCCUCAAAUUGGGAGAAAUGUUGAACAACUAUUGUUGAAUCAUAUUCAUCGACCGCUCAUUACAAUUUAGUGGACAGUUAAAUUUAGAUUUUAAUUCCAAACUGACACAAGUUUCUUUUCCUUCUACUAAUAACUUUCUUGAAUUUUGGCCAAUUUUUCAAAAUUGUUAAUUAUAUUUUUAUUGACAAAUGUGCUGUUUUGUUCUAAUUUAUGCUGGAUUCCCUUAAAUUUUUAGUGGACAAUUUUUUGUUUAUUUGUAUCUUAAUUUUCUAGUGUAGUCACUCAAUUAAUUAUUUAAUUUUGACUUAGUUUAUAGAUUUUAUUGUUAAUUGCUAGAAUGAUUCAGUAGAUUACUUAAAUGAUCGUUUUGAAGAUUUGAUCGGUAAGUUCUUCGACAAAUUACUGUGGUGAAAAUUGAAUAUGUAUAGAUAUAAGAUUGUCCCCUAAAUUGCUAAAGAUGUGUUAGCUAUUUAAAUAUCUAUGAUUACUUUCGAGACUGCAUUACCUACUAGUGGUAGGAUUCUUGAUUCCUUUUAGGAAUUCGUUGAGUGCAAAUAUAGUUAAGGUUGUGAUUUGUCCUAAAAAUUGAUUGCAUAGUAACAAUGAAUCUAUAGUGUUUCAUUAAUAUUUGGAUAAGAUAGAAACAUUGGAUGGUUGACCGACUAUCGAGAUGACCUACCAAAUACCAUGUCAAUCGAAUGACUACUAAGAUAGUCGAUUGACCAUUAGAUGAUCGAUCAGUAGGAAACUCGAUCUACCACUCUAUUCCUUAAUCAUUCUGAUAUUAUUUUGAUAGAUGAGAAAUCGUAUGACGACUAUCUCUAAGUUCGUUAAUUGCCUGAUGAGUGGGAAGUAAUAGCUAUAUAUGUGGAUGAGAGGCAAUCACUAUACAUGCAAGUACUGUUAUACACGUGGAUAAGAAGUAACCGCUAUACAUGUAAGUAGGAGGUAACCACCGUACACUUGGGUGGAAAACUGCUUGGCGGUUACACGGCCAAAAAGUCACCUAAAAUACCAAGGCAAACCAGGUAUGAGGGACCUUUUGUAGAAUUUCUUACUGGAAUUCUCUAUUUUAUUAUUCAUCGGAGUAGCAGAAGUCGUCUUGUUCCAUCAAGGAAGUCGAAAAGUUAUUUCAAUGUUAUUUCAUUGGCCCCGUCUAUGGGAACUUCUAAAUAUAUAAGCUAUGUCAAAAAAGUAAACAAGGAGCAAUACGUGCUUAGUCAGAAAGAAGGCCAGAGUCAAAGACUAUCGCCCAGGAUCAAGAUCUACCACCAUAGCCUCAUCCUCAAUAUGUAACAAAGAGUCAGUUUAGCAUUCUAAAAGCUCAGUUAGUAGCCGUGAUAACUCGUUUACAAAAUCAAACUCAGAGAGCGGUCGGCCCAAUCCACCAAAACUUCCACCACAAGAUACAGGCAGACAUCGACCCCAAGUGACACAAACGGUUGCCACCAGUUACUUAGCCAAUGAUGGCAAACCAAGGGUCUCUCGUAGUCACAACCCAUAAGUUUCGUAUCUUAUUGGUAGAUUUGGAACACAAUAUGGAGGAAAUGAUGGCCCAGAAGACAGAUGAUGUAUUAUCAAAAAGAAAGGAUAGAAGCAAGCAAAUGGUUAUAGAAAAAAACCCCUUUGCACUAGAGAUCAUGGCAAUCCAUCUACUAAAAGGCUUCAAACAGCAAAUGAUAUAGGCAUAUAAUUGAGUUAUGGAUUGGUUUGAUAACUGCAUACUUUCGUCAAUUUGAUGAGACUGUAUGCAACCCUAGAUACAGUGAUGUGUCGAUCUUUUCCAUCAACAUUAAGGAAAUAUGCUAGAAACUGGGUAGCUAUUCUUGCACUCUAGUUUAUCAAAAUUUUUGAUGAGCUCUCUAGGAACUCUGUGGCAUAUUUCUUGAGUAGUAAGAGAAUAUAGAAGAUAGAGAUUGUGCUGAUAUAGAUUGUCCAAGACAAAUAUAAGCUCUUACAAAUUUAUUUGGCCAAGUUUAGUCGCUCUACUCUUGGCAUAAAGGACCUUCAAAUGUCUGAUGUGGUUACCACAUUAAUAAAUAGGACGUGAAAUUGGGUAUUUAAGAUGUCGCUCUCAAAGAAUCUCCUAGAGUCGACGCAUGAUUUGUUGAAGAAGUGAGACAAAUAGGUAAAUGUAGAGAAAAUAGAGGUCACAAAAAAUCUUCGAGAAAGAUGAGAGCCAUAAACUCACAAGUGAAAGUCACAUGACAAGUGAAAACCCACUAAUAUAAACAAUCAGGAAAAUGAGCACGUGAACGAGGGAUAUACACAGGAUCGAUCGACCAGGCAAAGGCGUAAAGAAGUCAAGACCUUUAUCCCUUUGAACACUUCACAUGCUAAGUUAUUGAUGGAGAUUUGAGACAUAAAAGAGCUUGAUUGGCCAAAGCUUAUGUUCGUGUCUGCUAGCAAUAGGGACAAAAGAAAGUAUUAUCAUUUCCACAAUGAUCGUAAGCAUGACAUAAAAAAUUGCAUCGAUCUGAAAGAAAAGAUUGAUUAUCUUCUGAUAUAGGGAUUCCUAGCUAAAUACAUGAAAAAUGAUUAGGGCAAGGAGAAAGUCGAGAUUCAAUCAAAACGUCACUUUUGGUGAUGAUGACUUAAUCGGUGUAGCAAGCUCCCAUGAUGAUGCCCUAGAGGUAGGAAAUAUAGUGGAUUUUGAUAUCAAAAAGGUGCUAGUCGAUGGUGUUAGUGCAACUAAUGUUCUUAUUUGAAAAGCCUUUCUUGGGGUUGAAAUCUCUAUCAAAAAAUUAAAAACCGCAAUCACCUUUCUUCGAGGAUUUUGCAAGGCAACUGUGAUACUAAAUGGAACCGUAGAUCUUCCAAUUAAGCUAGCACUCACCCAGCAAGUGUUAUGUAGAUAACAUACAAGCCAAGGGCUCUCCACCGGUCAUGAUGUUAGGCUUUUAAUCCUCUAAGGAGCUAGGUGUUAAGCAUCCUAGUGGUGGACUUUUUGAAAAUAUGAUUGGUUAGGUAAGAUUAGGGAUGGCAAAUUGGCUCGAGAGCUUGGGCCACUCGUGGCUCGACCUGUAAAAAGCUCGAACCGACCCAGCUCGAGGCUUGGUGGAACUGAGCCUAGGCUUGGUCCAAACCUCAUCUUGGGGUGUCGGGUGCGAAAUUUAAAAAAAAAAAUUGUAGCAGCUAGCAGCUGAAAAUAAAAUAAAAUAGAAGAGAAGAAAGAAAGAGAAAAAGAACCAAGCCGGCUCGGCCCGAGCCUAAAGCUCGGUUGGAGCCUUGAUUUUUUGGCCGUGCUUUUGCUCGGCUCGAGCCAAAAAAAGCUUGACCUAAAAAAGCUCGAUCCGAACCCGAGCCUUGAUUUUCGGCUCGAAAGCAGGCUCAACUCGGCUCGUUGACACCUCUAAUAAUAUAUGUUUCUAUUCUCCUUGUAAAUAUAGUUGUUAUGUUUUUUUUAUUGUUUUUCCAAAUGUAAUGCUUGUUACUAGUUCAAGCGUCUUGGAAUUAAUAGCCUUAUUUUGAAAAGUCUAUAUGUUGGUAGACGAUGAGGGUAGUAAGGAAAGUCCAACCUACAUUGGACGUCUCAAUGUGCCUAUUAAGUCCAUAAAUCGAGGCAAACUUUAUGUAAACGCACACACUUAAUCUACAAUCAUUGAGAUUUUUAAUACGAAUCAUGGGCUCCAAACUUCGUUUAACACAUCAAAAUCACUCGACUAUCUUAUUGGUGAGCUUUCAAAACCAAAAAAUUUGAUUAAAUAUCAAAAUCACUAGACAAAUGAUCAACACAUCAAAAGCCACCAAGGAGCUAAGCAGUGAGCAAGAAAACUAAAAAAUUGGCUUUAAACUCAAAAUUGCUUCAAAAUCUUAGUGGUAAGCUUUAAAAAAUAAAAGAAAUUGGUUAAGCCUUAAAAUCACUAGAUAGGCAUUCAACACAUCAAAAUCAUCCAAGGAGUUAGGAGGUGAGCCAAAAAAAAAAAAAAAAAAAAAAAAAAAAAAAAAAAAAAUAAAACCAAAGAAAUUGGUUAAGGCUCAAAAUAAUUAGACUAGCGUUCAACACAACAAAAUCGUCCAAUGGACUAGGCGACGAGCAAAAAAAAGCCAAAAUUUUAGUUAUAAGCACAAAAUUGCUCUACAUUCUCAAUAGUGAGCUUUUAGAAUAAAAUAAAAAAUGGUUAAAGCUCAAAAUCACUAGACAAGCGCUCAACACAUUAAAAUCGUCCAAGAGACUAGGCGGUGAUCAAAAAAUCAAAAAAGUGGUUAUAAGCUCAAAAUCCACCUUCAGUAUCAGUGGUGAAUUUUUAAAACCAAAAGAUUGAUGAAGGCUCAAAAUUACUACAUCAUGCGCUCAACCUAACAAAUCGUCCAGGGACUAAGCAGUGAAAAAAAUUUGCUUAUGAGCUCAAAAUAUCUCUACGAUCCUUGUGGUGAGUUUUCGAAACCAAAAUAUUAGUUAAUGCUCAAAAUCACUAAACCCCACACUCAACACAUCAAAAUCGCCAAGGGCUAAGCAUUCCGCAAACAAAUUAACAAAUUGGUUAAAGCUCAAGAAAUCUUCAAUGGAAAUACCAUAACUAAAAUUCGCUAACUAAACUCGAAGUUGCAAAAAAUAUUGAGUAGCAAGCAAUUGAUUCAAUAUGGUUGAAGAAUUAUAAGAACUAGGUCCCUUUGGAAGGUUAAGGAGCACCACUUUAAUUGGAUCCCGCUCAAUGUUAAUAUUUUGAUUGGGAAAAUUAAAGGAACCAAUAUGAUUUUUAGGGAAACUUUGACCAAGAAUGUUGGAAUCUCUAAAAUUUGUUGAUUGAAAAUCAUUUUGAGAAGAGGAGGCAGGGUCGAUCGACUGGCCACGGGGCUGGUAGAUUGAACAACCGCAUUGUUGUCGAUCAACCCAGUGAAAGAUGGCCUUCUCGUCCUCACUUUCACUCUCACCCCCACUUGAUUUGCAAGAGGAUGAUUUUAAAUUUUCUUGGCCAGAGGAAGAGGAUAAUGCUAACUUAUUUGUAGAGAUGAAAUGGAAAUAUAAGUAUUUGCUCUUAUGACAUAGAGGAGUGUUGAUAAUAAAUACUAAAAAAAGGUAGAGCGGCUAGUGAUACUAUGUGAUAUAAAUGGUGGACUAUGAUGGCCAACCAAGCGAAAGUAAUUGCUCAAUUAUCACUAUGAUCGACCAACUACCAUGAUGGUCAGUCGACUACCAAAAUGGUCGAUUGUCUACCAUGAUGACCUAUCGACUAACACAAGUUGACUGAAUACCAUGAUGGUUGAUCGACUACCACGAUGACCUACAUACCUCGAUGGUCGAUCGACUACCACUACGAUCAAUCUACCACUAGAUGGUCAAUCACAAAGAAGCUCGAUCUAGUACUCUAUUCCUCAAUUGUUCGAAUAUUUUUUUCAUAAAUAAGAAACCGCAUGAUAACUACAUCUGAUUUCGUUAACCGCCUGAUGAAUGAGAAGUAACCGUUAUACGUGUGGAUAAUAGGUAACAACUAUGCAUGCAAGUACUGCUAUAAUCGCUAUACAUGCAAGUACUGCUAUACAUGUGGAUAAGAGGUAACCGCUAUACAUGAGAGUGGGAGAUAACUGCCAUACACAUGAGUGGAAAACAACUUAGUGGUUGCAUGGCCAAAAAGUCACCUAUAAAUACCAGAAGGCACACUAGGUAUGAGAGACCGUUUUAGAAUUUCUCUCCUGUAUUCUCUAUUGUUUAUCAAAAAGUUAUUUCUUAUUCACUUAAACCCAAUCAUUAAUUCUUAUGCCGGAAAUACAACGGGGAGAGAACUAGCCUCUUAUUGCAGGUAUUUCAUUGUUCAUCAUAGCAGCAAAAGCCACCAUGUUCUAUCAAGGAAGUCGAAAGGUUGUUUCAUUGUUAUUUCUGGUGCAUCAUUUGUGGUAGGUUAAAAAAAUCAAUAUUUCUAAACCACCUCAUCCGUGAUUUUUUGCCUUCUUAAUAUUUUCUUCCAAUUUUAUUUCCACUAAAAAAUUAUUUUACAAGACAAAAAUUGAGUUAAACGUAAAAGCUUACUUAUGAAUGAACAAUAAAUAAUUAAAAAAUUAGUUAUAAGCAAAAAAUUGCUUAUAAUAAAAAUUUACUUAUAACUAAAACAUCACUCAUAACAUAAAGUUCACUUUUUUCUUUUUCUUUUUUUUUCUUGUAAAAAUUGUUUAUUAUGUAUAAAAUACUACUAGUAAAAUAAAAUAAAAAUACUUAUAAAAUUUAAAAAUUUAAAAGUAAAACUUACGAGUAAAAUUAAUCAAUUAAGUCCGAAAUUAAAUUAUAAAUGUAAGGUUUAAUUACAAGUAAUAUAUUUAUUCUUAAUUUUUAAUUUUAACUUAUAAAUAAAUAUUUCAUUUUUUAAGUUCAAAAUUUACUUGGCCCUCGUUUUACUCUUUUUAUUUAAAAAUCCUUUAUUUCGCAUACUCAUUUUUAAUCACAUUCAUACAAUAAAAUAUUUUACAUGUAAAUCGAAAAAUUUUCACCUAUUUUUAAUCAUAAAUUCUCCAAAAAAUUACUAUUUAAAAUCUCAUUUCCCCUUAAUUUCUCUUUAUAAUUGGCAUCAAACAGAGAGUUAUAUAUGAAUGUUACUCAUAGGUGCUUAUGAGUAAAAAAAAUACAAAAACCUACCUUUUAGAUUCAUGCACAAUUAUAAUUCUAUUCUUUAAAAUGAAAAAAGAAUCAAUAAAUAAUAAUCUCUCAAACAUGGAUUGAACUGUUUCAAAAAUCGCUACUAAAAAAAUCACUUAAAAUCAGACUCCUCAUAAACGCUGAAUAUUGAUAUCUCAAAAAACCGCAUAAUCAGUACCCAAAAACUCUGAAGCCCUUAUUGUUUUCUUCAAAUGUCGCUCUUUAACUUAUUGUUGUGUCGUUAUCACCCCUAUAACACUAUCCAUAGUAACUCUACCGAUCAUCAUAUACCCCGAAGCCAUAAAUCCUAGCUCCGCCAUUAAUUGACUCAAAGUUUGAUACUGAUCGUUGAGUGACCAAGCAAUAUAAAACUCCAAAUUAAAUUCAGGUGCUGUUUCUUUCUUUAUUUGUAUAUUUUGUUUUUAUUGCCCCGUCCACGUUAAUAAUUAAUUAUAACAUAAAUAUUUUGAAUAUUAUUAUAAAUUAAAUAUUAAUUAGUGAAUGAUCAUUUUAUUCUUGCAUGCUUAACUAUUAUUUAUAAUGUACACGUGCAGUCAUAAUUCUUAUAUAAAUAUAGAAUUUUGGUUCUCAAUAAAAUAAACACAAUUCUAUUGACUCUCUAUUUUCUUUCAUUUUCUCUCUAAUUUAUAAUGCAUGUUAUUAACACAAAGAUUCUAGCCAAUUGAGUUAGCUAAACAUAUUCCUCUUUCUACUCACGAAUCUCUAACCAGGUUGACGUACGGAAAGCAAUUUUUCUUCUGUUCAAUGAAUAUAUGAAAUUUUAACUAGUUGGGUCGAUAAAUAAACUCUUCUUCUCGUUCAAUGAAAUCGUCAGUAUUCAUUUUAACUUUGAAUUGUAUAAUAAAGUUUUAAAGAUUAAUUUGAUUAUACCAAUUAAUAGAAAUAUGUUUGCUUGAAUGCAAUUUAUUAUUUCUUACAACAUUUGAGAAAGAAUAUUGUAUUAUUAUUAGUCUCGAAGAAGUAACAAACUAAAUCAAUAUUCUGAAAAAUAUAGUAGAUUGUCAAGGGCAAAUCCAGCAUUGUAGUUCAGCUAGAGCAGAGAGAUUAACUGCUGACCCGUCACCGUUGACCAAUGACCAUUGACAAUCAACAAUAGUAAAUAUAAUUCAAUACAUAUGUAAAUGUACUAAAACAUAAAAAGUAUAUACAUCUGAAAAUAUAAUUCAAUAUAACCCAAAAUAAUAAAAAAACAAAAUGUACGACACUAUAAACUUAGACGACAGCAUUCUACGGGAUCUUAUAAUUUCCUAAACCUAAAUUCCAAAUCACAAAUCAAAUAUUACUAAUGAUAAAUUAUAACCCAUAACUCAUACAACAUAAAUUAUUUAUCAUAAAUCACAAUUUUCAUUUAUUCAUCAUACAGGAACCUCACCUCAAUGCCAAAAAAAACCAAAAUGAAGACAAAAGUGUCAAUUAACCUCAAGAAUCAAGAUCGGCAAUAAUUUUUCCACUUAACAUAAUCUGUAUGAAAAUUAAACUUAAUCUUAAAGACUUAAGCUAUCAUCAAUUUCCAACUUCUAAUUUCCAACACAAAUCGAACAUUUCUCACAAAUCAUAAAAUUCCCAAUUCACAUAUUUACAAAAUUUACAAAUUCCCCAAUUUUCAUAAAUCAUAACCAUCAUAUUUAACAUAACAAUCAAAUUACAUCAUCAAAAUCAAAAAGAAAAAAAUAAAAUAAAAGCCAGAAUAGCUCACCAAGGCAAGAAGUUGCACUCGCAGCCAUUGGCGUCCACUCAACUCGUACGAUCGCACCACUCCAUCGUCCACCUCCUCGUCACUCACGGCUCACUGACUCACCAUCCACUCAACUCGCACCACUCUGUCAGGCACCAAUCCACUAUCUUUGCAAUCGCCCUUAGCCUUCAGCAGUUCCAUUCAGCCUUUGGUUAAUUGGUUUCAAUUUUGGAGUUUGGACUCUUCAAAUUGGUGAAUGCAAUGGAAAUAUAUCCACUCCAGCCGUCCAUUAAUUUCAAGGUAUUGGGCCAUUGGAUUUGUGCUUAUAUUUUUUAAAAAAGGCCCAAAAUGGGGGGGAGUAGGCCCAAUAUCCCAGCAGCUUCUUCAUCUUCGCGCUGCAGCUCUGCUUGCCGAGUUUCUUCCCGACGGACCAACGGACAAGCUUGCAAAUGACUGCAAUAAUGAACAUUCCGGCGGAUCCAGCUAGGGCAGUACCUGGAUCCGCCACUAAGCAUUGUCACUUAUCAAUAUUUAAAAAGAAUAUUAUUCUUAUUCUUGAACAUUAAUAUUCUAUUUGUAUUCCUUUUUUAUGAUUAUAAGAAAAAAGUGC